GCCCUUGGUCCUCACCGUUGCUGUACACUGGCUGUAGCUCUAUCCAGGCUGGUACAUUGUGAUAGAUGGAAAAAAACAGAGGUUUCACAAGGCCAUGGAAAAACAGAGGUUUACCAAGACCAUGGAACCGGAAAGGGGAGGAGCCAAGAUUCAAACCUGACACCAAAUCCUCUGCUCUCAGAGAAAUCAAGGUCUUGUAAGGGUAAAGAGAGGGGUACACUGCACUACAGCUUGUAAUGUUAGAUAAACUACGCAUGAGCAGUUGUGGAAACUUCUAUGUGUAAAGAAGAACUCUGGGAGACCAGUGGGGAAGGUGAAGAAGGAUUGUGGGAUGAAAGAGGAAGCGCUCUUGAGAACUAGGAGUGGUCACAAAGUGAAUGUGAGCCCGAAGGCAUGGAGAUGGGAAGAACCCGGAGACAAGAAAAAGGAAGGAAGACAAGCAAGAAACAGGAAAUAAAGAUGUUUUAGAUACUGCUAAAAGCAAGCAAAGAAAAAGAGCAAACAUGAUAAUGGAAUAGAGGAUUCAUUAAGGCUGGAGGUUUUCCUAGCUAGAUGGGGCCAGUCACCAACAUCUGUUUUAUGUAUACAAGACUAACCAGAUGGAGAAGCUGAGACCUGAAGUCUAAGCU